GAUGAACGCUAGCUACAGGCUUAACACAUGCAAGUCGAACGGAAGUAAGUGCUUCGGUAUUUACUUUAGUGGCGAACGGGUGAGUAACGCGUGAGGAACCUGCCUUUCAGUGGGGGACAACAGUUGGAAACGACUGCUAAUACCGCAUGACGCUUCUUGGGGGCAUCCCUGAGAAGUCAAAGCUUUAUGUGCUGAAAGAUGGAUUCGCGUCUGAUUAGCUAGUUGGUGAGGUAACGGCUCACCAAGGCGACGAUCAGUAGCCGGUCUGAGAGGAUGAACGGCCACAUUGGGACUGAGAUACGGCCCAG
rnacentral:rRNA from 1 species